AAUUGAAUUUUUAAAACGGAGAUCGCGAAUUUAAUUUUUCAGAAUAUAUUUCAGUCUCUGAGGACUGAGGGUGCUGCAAGAGUUUAACUCUACUCCUCCUGUCGACUCCGCAGCUAGCGUGAAGCUUUGGCCUCUCCUUAAUCCACAUUUUGCAGGACGGAAACCAAGGAAACAAGAACAAAUACAGUGCUCAAGCCCACAGCGAAAUUGCUCUCUCGGCCCACUGCUUCUCUCCUCCUGUCAAAUCUGCCAGCCACAAAUAGUGUUCGUCGAGAGAUUGUUUGACGGGCAGAUCGCUGAGAUUGUGUACGAAGGCGACCACAACCACCCGAAGCCUCAGCCUCCGAAGCGACGACUCUCGUCGGGUUCGCAGGAGCAGGCCUUCGUAGCCGACCAGAAUAGCAGAUCAGAGAGGCAAUCUGCAGUCAUGGAGUACUACUGAUUCGCUGCUGCUAGAGGUAAACCCCAAGGGAUUGCCCUCCUGCAGGAUUCCAAUGCCUUCUGUACACUCCGCAGUCCGCGCUGUCUACUCACGUUAUAGAUCCAACCGAAAAUGAGUUGUGAGGAAAUAUUCAAUUCUCAUCACUGAGGACAUAGAAAAACACCUCCUUAAUUACCAAUAACUUUGAGUUCAGUAAUCAAGAUCGGACUAAUUCAUAUUAGACGAAAAACCUUCUCUUCCUCUAUUCAAGCAGGGAACUCCAAAUCUCAGUUCAUCCUCCAUUCCAACAAGCUGUGGGCUCAAAUCUCAAUAAACAGAGCAACGACGCAGAGAGACGCCGUUCGACAGACCCCAAUAAUCCAGAGCUUAUUCUCCCUCUCUCGAAGAAAAUUGUAAGAGCAGUUUUUUUUUUUCAUUUAUAUUAUUUUGUUGUUUCUGAUUUUAUGUGCAUUUUUUCAUAUACAAAAUAAAAUGUCAUAGAAACAACAGUCAAAUUAUUUGCAGAUGGCUCCGGCAAAUGGUUUAAGAAAAGCGUAGAUCAUGGCAUACAAUCGCACAAGGUGUAUAUAAUGGGGGCAUUUCAAACACUAAAUUCUACCUCUCUUAUUAGAUUGUAUAUGAGGAGAAUGAUAGUCGAGAUGAGGAAUUGUGCUCCCUAUGCCGUCGUUGGCUGCCUUCUUCCUCUUCUAUCUACUCGCGCUGGAUCUGCCUUGUCAAUAUCGCAAUCAAAAUCUCGACGGCGUGGCCAUGUUCAUGAUUUUAGGUUGGAAAAGCUUGUUACAGAUAACAAAAUGUCCAUGCCGACACGAGUAGUAGGGACUUUUGGAUAUCUUGCUCCUGAAUACGCAACCACCGGAAAAGUAUCCACGAAGGUUGAUGUCUACACAUUCGGUGUUAUAUUAAUGGAGAUAAUUAUCGGAAGAAAAGUACUAGAUGAGUCAUUCCUUCCUGAUGAUAAUCUUGUAUCAGUAUUUCGCAGAGAGUUUACUCAAGAGAAAAAUAAAAUUUUAAAUUCCAUGACGGAGUGAGUCCUUGAACUUGACGAUGAGACUCAGAAGAGUCUAGUGGAAGUUGCAGACUUGGCUUGGCACUGCACAUGCAGUGAACCCUAUCAAAGGUCUUAUAUGAGCCACAUAGUCAAUAAACUUGCUCCUUUAGUAGAGGUAUGCCGAUCUAAGACAACCUGUGAUGUGGACAAUGACGAUGGCUCAAUUUAUAGUCUGAUCGAAAUACUCGAGAGAUGAUAACAUGAUACCACUAUGACCAGGUGAUUUGGUUGUUAUUGAUGUUGAAAGAAGUUUUGGGAUAAAAUGCACCUUUUUUUGACAAAAAUACAUAGCGGAAGCGAAACCUUUUUUACAAGGAGAAUGAUGAUCAAGACGAGGAAUUGCACUCCUUAUGCUGCCGUCGGCCACCUUCUUCCUCUUUUGUCUACUUGCAUUGGAUCUGCCCUGUCAAAAUCUCAAUGGCGCAGCCAUGCCCGAACUGGCACGGUCACUCUUCGAGGUUCCUUCCACCUGGGACGACGUUAUUUGCUCCGGACAAAUGAAAUGUAUAUGAGAAAUUAUCUAAGUUUCAUAUAUAGUCAAAUACUCUGAGGGAUCAUUAAUAUGAGCAA